rnacentral:rRNA from 1 species
CAAUAGCGUAUCUUAAUGUUGUUGCAGUUAAAAAGCUCGUAGUCGAAUUUCUGGCCGGGAUACUACACCGUCUGGUUGUAGCUAGCCCAGGUCAUCCGCCUGUGAUCAUUUCUCGUGAUUAAACCCUCGGCUAUAGGAUCAGGCACUUUACUUUGAAGAAAUCAGAGUGUUUCAGGCAGGCUUUCGCUUGAAUACACCAGCAUGGAAUAAUGGAAUAGGACUAAUAUCUUUUAAAUGGUUCAAAGAUAAUAGUAAUGAUUAAUAGGGACAGUUGGGGGCAUUUGUAUUUAAUAGUCAGAGGUGAAAUUCUUCGAUUUAUUAAAGACAAACUAAUGCGAAGGCAUUUGCCAAAGAUGUUUUCAUUGAUCAAGAACGAAAGACAGGGGAUCAAAGACGAUCAGAU